CCUGCAGCGACUUGAUGGCUUCC
rnacentral:miRNA from 2 species